GACGAACGCUGGCGGCGUGCUUAACACAUGCAAGUCGAACGGAAAGGCCCUGCUUUUGUUGGGUGCUCGAUUGGCGAACGGGUGAGUAACACGUGAGUAACCUGCCCUUGACUUUGGGAUAACUUCAGGAAACUGGGGCUAAUACCGGAUAGGAUCUCCUGCUGCAUGUUGUGGGUUGGAAAGUUUCGGCUUUUGUGUAUGUACUCGCUGCUUAUCAGCUUGUUGGUGGGGUAGUGGCUUACAAAGGCUUUGACGGGUAGCCGGCAUGAGAGGGUUACCGGGCACCAUGGGACUGAGAUACGGCCCAGACUCCUACGGGAGGCAGCAGUGGGGAAUAUUGCACAAUGGGCGGAAGCCUGAUGCAGCAACGCCGCGUGCGGGAUGACGGCCUUCGGGUUGUAAACCGAUUUCGAAUGUGACGAAGAGUGAGUGACGGUAAUGGGUAAAGAAGCAACGGCUAACUACGUG
rnacentral:rRNA from 1 species